ACAAGCCCCUGGCAGGGGAGAUACCAUGAUCAUGAAUGUGGUUUUCCAAGCGUGAGGCUCAUCCAUUGCACAACGGGUGCUGACCCCUGUGAUUUCCCCAAAUAUGGGGAACUCGACUGCAUAAUUAAUUGAGAAUGAAGUCUUAAGGGACACAGGCA